UGGGGAAUAUUGCACAAUGGGCGCAAGCCUGAUGCAGCCAUGCCGCGUGUAUGAAGAAGGCCUUCGGGUUUUAAAGUCCUUUCAGUCGGGAGGUAGGUGGUAAGGUUAAUAACCUUAUCAAUUGUCGUUACCUACAGACGAAGCACCGGCUAACUCCGUGCCAGCAGCCGCGGUAAUACGGAGGGUGCAAGCGUUAAUCGGAAUUACUGGGCGUAAAGCGCACGCAGGCGGUUGAUUGAGUCAGAGGUGAAAUCCCCGGGCUUAACCCGGGAAUUGCAUCUGAUACUGGUCAGCUAGAGGCUUGUAGAGGGGGGUAGAAUUCCAUGUGUAGCGGUGAAAUGCGUAGAGAUGUGGAGGAAUACCGGUGGCGAAGGCGGCCCACUGGACAAAGACUGACGCUCAGGUGCGAAAGCGUGGGGAGCAAACAGG
rnacentral:rRNA from 1 species